rnacentral:lncRNA from 1 species
UGUCAUGUUGCAGCAGAUGUGUCUCAGACAAGAAUUAACGUUGUCGAAUCUAAUGAGGACUACAUGACAGAAGAACCAAUCAAACAUCAUAAUUCUGCUGAAAAAGAUGUCGAAUCAUCUGAUGUCUAAGAAAUAGCUACUAAUGAUAAAGAAGGUUUCACAGAUUGUGAUGAUGCUGAUGUAGAUGAAAAUGAAGAUGGUAAGUUUGCUCAUUCCUUAUUGAUUGCAAUAUAUGAUUAUUCAUCAUAGUAACAUAUAAUUUGUGGUUCAUAAUGGUGGCAGUGCACGGCAAUUAGAAAAAGGUUCUGCUGCGCACAAGGUAUCUCCAUAGUCUGAUAUACAUAAUUACGAUCAAACUAUAGUGCUCCCAUGUUUAUGUGUGUUUACUUGUUGCUAUGUGAAUCUUGUUCAGAACCAAGAAACUUUUGAUCAGAAUUUCAGUACACGGCAAGGGAAAAUAAAUGCUGCUGCACACAAGGUAUAUUUCCAUUACCAUAUACAAUAUGUUCAAAAUAUAUCGCUUCGAUGUUUAUGUAUCUAUUGGUCAUGUUGCUAUUAGAAUGGUGUUCAGAACAAAGAUACUUUGCUUGAGAAUGUCAGUGUACGUGUGCGAGAAAAACUUCUGCUGCGAACAAGCUAGUAUCUUUUCAUAAUCAGAUACAUAUUUUGCUCAAACUAUAGUGCUAGCUUGUUUAUUCGUUUAUUACCUCUACUUUGCUAUAAGAGUGUUGUCCAGACCCCCAAAAAAAGCUGCUAAUGCAGCCAGUAAGAGAGCUCAAAGUGGUUCGCUGAGUUGGUUGGGUGCCAGUGAACUACUUGUAAGACUGCUCAAAUUCAUUUCAUAUGUUCCCCUAUUUUGUCUGUCUUGUCACGGGUGAUGAGCAUAAUUCUGCCAAUGGUAACUUUGAUUUUCUCUAACAUGCAGGAACUAAAGUAUUCUUGAAGAGCCUGAAAAAUCAUAAUUAGCACGUAGCUCUAGGUACAAUUG